rnacentral:rRNA from 1 species
AUGAACGCUGGCGGCGUGCCUCAUACAUGCCAGUCGAGCGAACAGACGAGGAGCUUGCUCCUCUGACGUUAGCGGCGGACGGGUGAGUAACACGUGGAUAACCUACCUAUAAGACUGGGAUAACUUCGGGAAACCGGAGCUAAUACCGGAUAAUAUAUUGAACCGCCUGGUUCAAUAGUGAAAGACGGUUUUGCUGUCACUUAUAGAUGGAUCCGCGCCGCAUUAGCUAGUUGGUAAGGUAACGGCUUACCAAGGCAACGAUGCGUAGCCGACCUGAGAGGGUGAUCGGCCACACUGGAACUGAGACACGGUCCAGACUCCUACGGGAGGCAGCAGUAGGGAAUCUUCCGCAAUGGGCGAAAGCCUGACGGAGCAACGCCGCGUGAGUGAUGAAGGUCUUCGGAUCGUAAAACUCUGUUAUUAGGGAAGAACAAAUGUGUAAGUAACUAUGCACGUCUUGACGGUACCUAAUCAGAAAGCCACGGCUAACUACGUG